UACGGAGGAUGCGAGCGUUAUCCGGAUUUAUUGGGUUUAAAGGGUGCGUAGGCGGUCAGGUAAGUUAGAGGUGAAAGCUCGAUGCUCAACAUCGAAACUGCCUCUGAUACUGUCUGACUAGAGUGUAGUUGCGGAAGGCGGAAUGUGUGGUGUAGCGGUGAAAUGCUUAGAUAUCACACAGAACACCGAUUGCGAAGGCAGCUUACAAAUCUAUAUCGGACGCUGAGGCACGAAAGCGUGGGGAGCAAACAGG
rnacentral:rRNA from 1 species